rnacentral:lncRNA from 1 species
AUUUUGUUUUGUUUCGACUGGAAAUAGCAUCACCAAGAUGGCAACCAAGUGAACUAAUUUGAAAUAACUUUGGACUUCUUGGACAUUUUUAUAUAUGAUUGUGACAAUGAGGACACUUCAACUGAUUGAUUGCCAUUUGACAUUUUUAUUGAGAGUUUUCACAAUAAUUAAAAAAAAAAUAAAAUCUUCCUUUAAUUUUUUAUUAAUUCACUUAAUAUUUCUAAUAAUUUGGUGAAUCCAUGGAAGAUAUGCUGAAAUCUUAGUAUAGACAUUAGGAUGCACAGCUGAAUUGCAUUUUAUUCUGGACCCAAAACAUGUCACACCAACUGCAGUGUUUCCACAAACCAAAGGACCUCCUGAAUCUCCCUUUUAAGAAACAAAGAUCAGAAAAUCACUAGUGAAACCAGUUCAUAUAUUAACAUAAAAUCUGUAAAUGUUUUGUACAUACUCUUGCAGGAUCCUCCACGACCAUGUGCACAGAUCAUCUGCGAGGCCAAAACUUGGAUUCCCAUUUACGUUGACACUCUUCGUGGUUUUCUGUAGUCGUGUUUGCCUCCAGUAGCCGAUUGCUCAAUAUGUCAUUAAUCUCCUUUCUUCCCCAGCCUGCAACACUACAGAGAGUGCCUCCACUAACAUCUCCUUCCUUCGGUAAUGAUAUCCAGUUAACAUAGUUAUUUGGUUUGACCUUUUCCUGUAGCUGUAACUCAAAAACACAACCAUUAUUAAGAGAUUUAAUCAUAUUUUAUAAGACUGAAAUGUAUUAUUCUGCUGUUUUUGAGAUAAGUGCUAGUGUUUAUUUUUAUUUGUAUUUUUAUUAUUAUUUACAAUUGCCUCUUAAAAUAUAUUUCUGAAUAGAAAUUCAAACAUAGAUAAGUCAGGUUUAUUCCACUGUUUUCUGAUCAGAGAUUAUUUAAAACAAUGUUUUACAGGUCAUUACCCUCAAAAGCAUGAUGUCAUUCUGACGCGAACAGAAUGUAUAGUGUGGAUGUGAGAUGUAAGACUUCACUUCGACACGCAAUGAGCAGCAGUCAUGACAAACUCAUCAGAGAUGAGGAAUCCACCACAGGUAUGUUUAAAAUGAUUCUGAAGAGAAACCAUGUAAGGUCUGGAGUGGGGUUUUGCUUCUUUGCCAUUCACUAUACCCACAUUCACACGAGCUGAGAGAGAGAGAACUAUUAGUGAGCUUAUUCUGUAUAUAGUUAAUAUAGCUAAUGUGCUGUUAUAUACAAUCAUUCUCACCGGUGAAGGUCAGGUGUGGCAGCAGAGAGGCCAGCAGGAGCAGAGAGAUGAUGAUCAUCAUGAAGACAGUGAGCUCUUACUGACAAAACACUAUAUAAAUGUGAGGAUGGGUGGAGACACUGAGCUGCCUGCAAGCCUUUUUUUCUCAGCUUGUGGUGUCAGUAACACUGAUGGUAAGAAGAUAUUACUUGUGUUCUUGUCAUCUG